GAUGAACGCUGGCGGUAUGCUUAACACAUGCAAGUCGAACGAAUGUCUUCGGACAUUAGUGGCGGACGGGUGAGUAACGCGUGAGAAUCUGCCUAUAGGUUGGGGACAACAGAUGGAAACGUCUGCUAAUACCCAAUGUGCCGAGAGGUAAAAGCUUUAGUGCCUGUAGAUGAGCUCGCGUCCGAUUAGCUAGUUGGUUAGGUAAAAGCUGACCAAGGCGACGAUCGGUAGCUGGUCUGAGAGGAUGAUCAGCCACACUGGGACUGAGACACGGCCCAGACUCCUACGGGAGGCAGCAGUGGGGAAUUUUCCGCAAUGGGCGAAAGCCUGACGGAGCAAUACCGCGUGCGGGACGAAGGCUUUUGGGUCGUAAACCGCUUUUGUUAGGGAAGAAGAACUGACGGUACCUAACGAAUCAGCAUCGGCUAACUCCGUGCCAGCAGCCGCGGUAAUACGGAGGAUGCAAGCGUUAUCCGGAAUUAUUGGGCGUAAAGCGUCCGCAGGUGGUUUAUCAAGUCUGCUGUUAAAUCGUGGGGCUUAACCCCAUAUAGGCAGUGGAAACUGAGAGACUAGAGUACGGUAGGGGUAGCGGGAAUUCCCAGUGUAGCGGUGAAAUGCGUAGAUAUUGGGAAGAACACCAGCGGCGAAGGCGCGCUACUGGGCCGAAACUGACACUCAUGGACGAAAGCUAGGGGAGCGAAAGGGAUUAGAUACCCCUGUAGUCCUAGCUGUAAACGAUGACAACUAGGUGUUGCGCG
rnacentral:rRNA from 1 species